GACCGCGUAGCUCAGUUGGCAGAGCAUUGGCUCGUAUUCCAAAGGUCGUAGGUUCGAUUCCCACCGUGGCCG